UAUUGCACAAUGGGCGCAAGCCUGAUGCAGCCAUGCCGCGUGUGUGAAGAAGGCCUUCGGGUUGUAAAGCACUUUCAGUCAGGAGGAAAGGUUAGUAGUUAAUACCUGCUAGCUGUGACGUUACUGACAGAAGAAGCACCGGCUAACUCCGUGCCAGCAGCCGCGGUAAUACGGAGGGUGCGAGCGUUAAUCGGAAUUACUGGGCGUAAAGCGUACGCAGGCGGUUUGUUAAGCGAGAUGUGAAAGCCCCGGGCUCAACCUGGGAACUGCAUUUCGAACUGGCAAACUAGAGUGUGAUAGAGGGUGGUAGAAUUUCAGGUGUAGCGGUGAAAUGCGUAGAGAUUUGAAGGAAUACCGAUGGCGAAGGCAGUCACCUGGGUCAACACUGACGCUCAUGCACGAAA
rnacentral:rRNA from 1 species